rnacentral:lncRNA from 10 species
AGAAGAUCUCUAGGGCUUUAUAUGCAUUGAUUAGCAAUUCCCCUUUUUCCCCUGCCCCUAGCCCCUGGUAACCACAUUGUAAUGGCUUAUUUCACUUAGCAUAAUGUUCUCAAGGUUCAUCCGUGUUGCUGCAUAUUGUAGAAUUUCCUUUCUUUUUAAUAUGUCAUUGGAUUUACACACCACAUUUCCUUUGUCCUUUCAUCCAUCAAUGGACAUUUAGGUUAUUUCCACAGCUUAGCGAUUGUGACUAGUAUUGCUAUGAACAGUGAGUGCAGACAUCUCUUCAAGAUCCUGAUUUCAAUUCUUUUGGAUAAAUACCCAGCAGUGGGAUUGCCAGAUCAUAUGGUAGUUCUGUUUUUAAUUUUUUGAGGAGAGGUCAAAGCAGGUGUAUCUCUUGAGCCUGGGAGUUCAAGACCAGCCUGGGCAACAUGGCAAAACUCCGACUCUACAAAAAAUACAUGCACACCUGUAGUCUCAGCUACUUGGGGGGCUGAGAUGGGACGGUCAGUUGAGGCCAGGAAUUCGAGACCAGCCUGGGCAACAUGGUGAAACUCUGUCUCUACUAAAAAUACAAAAAUUAGUCUUGGCAGGUGCCUAUAAUCCCAGCUACUGGGAGGCUGAGGUGGGAGGAUCACUUGAGCCCAGGAGGCAGAGGUUGCAGUGAGCAGAGAUCAUGUCAUUGCACUCCAGCUUGGACGACAGAGCGAGACUCUGCUUAAAAAAAAAAAAAUUUUUUUUUGAGGAACCAAACCUCCAUACUGUUUCUAUAGAAACUGCAUGAGGCUCUUCAGGAUAUUCUUAAUAACAGCCUAUUAAUUUACCAAUAUAUCACAAAGGAUGUACAGUGUAUCACUGAAUUCCCGGUUCUCGUCUCAGAAUCACCCAGUGAAUCUGUCACAUUCUGAUUUAAUUACCUGGGAUGAAGCUGGGGCAUUGCUAUGUUGCAAAAGUUCUCCAAUUGAGUCUAAUGUGCAGCUGGAGUGGAGAACCAUGAACCACUUCUAGCUGUUGAGAGGCUCCUCAAUUUGAGUAAGAAAUAAAGAAAAUGUGUAUUUAUUAAGACAGCACUCAGGCAGUUUCAGCAAGGUGGACGGGGAGUGGAGCAUGAGCAUGGGAAACCUUCCAGCAUCGAAUCAACUGUGUAGAAGCUGAGAAGGAUGCACCUGCAGGUGGGAGCUGGGAGGUAGGCCCUGGGUCCCGGUGACUCUUUGGUGUAGUUUACAGCUGAGCAGUUCCCGCCUGCUUCUCAGCAAAGGUCCCUUAUGCAUCUCUCAUGUGCUUCUCCCACUCAUCUUGCAAGACUCUGAAGUGUGAGUGCCAUCUUUUCAGUUAAGUGAGCAGUAUAUGGAAACUUUCUCAUGGGAAAGAACCGCAUGUGGCGCACCCUGGACGUCACUCCUUGGCUGGUCCUGGAUGCCCACCUCACCCCACCACACUCAUGCCCCUCCCAGGAGGCGCCUUCUUGACAGUGUGGUCCUUCCUGGCUGACAAUGACUUGGGUUUUCGUCGCCUCAGUUCCUGGCAGAGCUGUUCCCGUGCCCCGGUGCCACUGUGUGCACCUGCUUUAAUCACCUCCCACUGCAGCUUCUGUCCUGCCACCCCUUGGGCUUCCUGAUCUUUCCUUCAUGCUUGCCCUUGAGCAUCUUAUGGCCUCUUUGAGCUUUCACUGUUUCUGCAAUGGGGCCAUUUCCAUAUCGACAGCUCUAGUGUUUCUGUCACUACUGGAUUCUCCCAUUCGCUUUGUGAUGCAUCAUGGCUCUAGCUACACAUCCUGCCUCUGUCUCAGACUCCAUGUGUCUGUGACCAGCCCCCUGACUCCCUCCAGCCACUCACCCUGGCUGUCCCCACCAUCAGGGGCCUGGCCACACCAUCUGCUGCUGAGCUGCAGGACAUGGCUGAUCAGAAAUGGAGCACAACAGUCAGGGGCAGAGCCCAUUGACCAAAGCCUUGAAUAUACCAUGAUUUCCAAGAUGUGUCUUGCUCUUCUGUCUUCAGAGUACAAAAAGGUAAACUCCUCUCAGGCAAGGAUUCUACUUUCUCUCUUUUUGAUAAAUUAGCAGCAUAGUUAUUUUCCUGCUUGCUAGGUUAGAUAAGCAGUGAGAUCUGUCACCUCUUUGUCCUCCUCUGGUUGAAUUGCUUCUUUAAUUCAAGUUUUAGUUUAGGAGGUAGAACUUUUUUUUUUUGUUUUUUUGAGACAUGGUCUCAUUCUGUCGCCCAGGCUGGAGUGCAGUGACACGACUACAGUCCACUGCAGCUUCUACCUCCCGGGCUCAAGUGAUCCUCUCACCUCAGCCUUCUGAGUAGCUAGGACCACAGGUGCACACUACCAUUCCUGGCUAACUUUUUUAUUUUUUAUUUUGUAGAGAGGGGGUUUCCCAGACUGGUUUCAAACUCCUGUGCUCAAGCAAUC